rnacentral:rRNA from 1 species
AUUACUCCUACGGGAGGCAGCAGUGAGGAAUCUUCCACAAUGGGGGCAACCCUGAUGGAGCAACGCCGCGUGCAGGAUGAAGGCCCUCGGGUCGUAAACUGCUUUUAUGAGCGAAGAAUAUGACGGUAACUCAUGAAUAAGGGUCGGCUAACUACGUGCCAGCAGCCGCGGUAAUAAU